GGCCUGGUGGUGUAGUGGUAAUGCACCUGCUUUAUGUUCGUUUAUGAAGGCGGAUGUUUAAGCGGGAGAUCCCUUGUUCGACUCAAGGUCAGGCCA